rnacentral:rRNA from 1 species
ACGCUGGCGGCAGGCCUAACGCAUGCAAGUCGAGCGGUAGAGAGAAGCUUGCUUCUCUUGAGAGCGGCGGACGGGUGAGUAAUGCCUAGGAAUCUGCCUGGUAGUGGGGGAUAACGUCCGGAAACGGACGCUAAUACCGCAUACGUCCCACGGGAGAAAGCAGGGGACCUUCGGGCCUUGCGCUAUCAGAUGAGCCUAGGUCGGAUUAGCUAGUUGGUGGGGUAAUGGCUCACCAAGGCGACGAUCCGUAACUGGUCUGAGAGGAUGAUCAGUCACACUGGAACUGAGACACGGUCCAGACUCCUACGGGAGGCAGCAGUGGGGAAUAUUGGACAAUGGGCGAAAGCCUGAUCCAGCCAUGCCGCGUGUGUGAAGAAGGUCUUCGGAUUGUAAAGCACUUUAAGUUGGGAGGAAGGGCAGUAAAUUAAUACUUUGCUGUUUUGACGUUACCGACAGAAUAAGCACCGGCUAACUCUGUGCCAGCAGCCGCGGUAAUACAGAGGGUGCCAAGCGUUAAUCGGAAUUACUGGGCGUAAAGCGCGCGUAGGUGGUUCGUUAAGUUGGAUGUGAAAUCCCCGGGCUCAACCUGGGAACUGCAUUCAAAACUGACGAGCUAGAGUAUGGUAGAGGGUGGUGGAAUUUCCUGUGUAGCGGUGAAAUGCGUAGAUAUAGGAAGGAACACCAGUGGCGAAGGCGACCACCUGGACUGAUACUGACACUGAGGUGCGAAAGCGUGGGGAGCAAAC